UACGUAGGUGGCAAGCGUUGUCCGGAUUUACUGGGCGUAAAGAGCGCGCAGGCGGUCGUUCAAGUCGCGUGUGAAAGCCCCCGGCUCAACUGGGGAGGGUCACGCGAUACUGAUCGACUCGAAGGCAGGAGAGGGUAGUGGAAUUCCCGGUGUAGUGGUGAAAUGCGAAGAUAUCGGGAGGAACACCAGUGGCGAAGGCGACUACCUGGCCUGUUCUUGACGCUGAGGCGCGAAAGCUAGGGGAGCAAACGGG
rnacentral:rRNA from 1 species